CGUUCCUCUGCCCAUCGCCACCAACGACGCCGCCUCAGCUACACUGACUGACGUUCCUUCGUCUGCACAACGCCGCCACUCCCCGCGUCGCCCAGCUCUCCUCCCUCCCCGUCGCCUGCCCAUAUUCUUUUGUUCCUCUCCCCGCCCCCCGCUUCGCCCCCCGCCCCCACCACCAAUGUCAUCCAUCCUCUCCCCCAACCCCACCCCCACAUCGCCCAUCCUCCAGCCCCACCCCGCGUCACCCAAACAAUGCCCUAGUUGCCCCGCACCACCUCUGCCCAACACCCCUGUUGGUUGCCGUCGACCCUCCAUCUGCCCAUUCUCUAAUUGGGAAGUUUGAAAAGAUCUGGUCUUGAACUUUUGUAAACAUUCCACCCAGUAUUUUGAAUGGCUUUACAGUGCAAACUUCGGAUGACUAAAAUUGACAAGAUUGGAAGCGAAGAUGAUGUUGAAUUAAUGGAUCUAGUCUUUUGUUUGUUAUUGGCCAAAUCUGAUGAAUUAAUGGAUUUUUUUAACACUUUUUGUUCUUUGAAUUUUAAUGAAAUGAGGUGCUGCUUGGACAGUACAUCUUUUGUGUCCAGUUGUAGAGAUGUACUUGGUGUUACUUAUGUAGAGUGUAGACUCAAAAUUAUGUGUGCAAACACUUGUGUUAUGGAGAUGCUAUAGUGUAGUUUGAAUGAGGUUCUGAUUAUAUGCAAUUGAAUGAGGUUUUGUGGCCUUUAUUUAUAUGCAAUGAAAU